rnacentral:rRNA from 1 species
CCGGAGCCGCAGCGAGAGCGAGUCUGAAAAGGGCGUAUGAAGUUGCAGGUAUUAGACCCGAAACCGGGUGACCUAUCCAUGAGCAGGCUGAAGCGGUGGUAAGACACCGUGGAGGGCCGCACCCACGUCUGUUGAAAAAGCCGGGGAUGACUUGUGGAUAGCGGAGAAAUUCCAAUCGAACUCGGAGAUAGCUGGUUCUCCCCGAAAUAGCUUUAGGGCUAGCGUUAUUUUAGAUUACCGGAGGUAAAGCACUGAAUGGUCUAGGGGCCGCGAGGUUACCAAAGCCUAUCAAACUCUGAAUGCCGGAUAAUUGAUGAAUAGCAGUCAGACUGUGUGAGAUAAGUCUCAUAGUCAAAAGGGAAACAGCCCAGAUCUACAGCUAAGGUCCCAAAUGAACACUAAGUGGAAAAUGAUGUGAAACUGCGAAGACAACCAGGAUGUUGGCUUAGAAGCAGCCACUCAUUCAAAGAGUGCGUAAUAGCUCACUGGUCGAGUGGUUUUGCGCAGAAAAUGUAACGGGGCUAAGUGUUCAACCGAAGCUUAGGCAUUGCAGUAAUGCAUUGGGUAGGGGAGCGUCGUAUGCGGGGCGAAGUCAGAGCGGAAGCACUGGUGGACUGCAUACGAGUGAGAAUGCCGGAAUAAGUAGCGAGAAUUAUGUGAGAAUCAUAAUGGCCGAAAAUCUAAGGUUUCUUGGGGAAGGUUCGUCCGCCCAAGGUUAGUCGGGAGCUAAGCUCAGGCCGAAAGGCGUAGGCGAUGCACAUACGGUAGAAAUUCCGUAACCACCGAACAUUUAAGCUAGAGGGACGCUUUCUUUAAGUCUAUCCCGGGCGAUGGUUGCCCCGGGCGUAAGGGACCGAAAUAUAGUAGGGAAGUAACUGGCGAGAGAGACGAGAAAAGCUCUAGUGUAUACUAAGGUGCCCGUACCGCAAACCGACACAGGUAGAUGGGAUGAGUAUUCUAAGGCCAACGGGAGAAGGGUUGUUAAGGAACUCGGCAAAUUGGCCCCGUAACUUCGGGAUAAGGGGCGCCUGCGAGAGCAGCCGCAGUGAAAAGGCCCAAGCGACUGUUUAGCAAAAACACAGCUCUCUGCUAAAUCGAAAGAUGACGUAUAGGGGGUGACGCCUGCCCGGUGCUGGAAGGUUAAGGGGAGUGCUUAGCGCAAGCGAAGGUGCGAACUUAAGCCCCAGUAAACGGCGGCCGUAACUAUAACGGUCCUAAGGUAGCGAAAUUCCUUGUCAGGUAAGUUCUGACCCGCACGAAUGGCGUAACGAUUUGGGCACUGUCUCAACAGCCCGCCCGGCGAAAUUGUAGUACCGGUGAAGAUGCCGGUUUCCCGCAACUAGACGGAAAGACCCCAUGGAGCUUCACUGUAGCUUGAUAUUGGAUCUCGGUAUUCCAUGUACAGGAUAGGUGGGAGGCUAGGAAGCGAGCGCGCCAGCGUUC